AUGACUGAAAAGGAGAAUUGCAUCAUUUCUGGGUCCAAACCAUGACCCUGUUCUUGGAUAAUUCAUGAGUGCUCCUCCCACUCUUUCCAGUUCCCUCCCUUUUCCCUCACCCUCCUUAUAUUUGGUGUAUUCACCUGAAUUGGGUUGAGAAGUUGAUUUGCAAAUUAGGUUCCUGCUUCUUCAUCCUUUGACCAUUGAAUAAAGGUUGCACUGUUCCAGUCUCAGAAUUGGUUUUGUUAUUGACUGCAGGAACCCAAUCAGAAAAAGAACCUCCCUGGCUGAGACAGCGGGUGUCAGCUUGGUCUAGGACACUGGUGGAGGUAGAGUUGACCAACUCGGUAGCAGGACCAUGAGGAAGGAAUCUUCCUUAGUUAUCCAGUUCACUCUUGGCCCAUUUGUUUCCUCUUGGAGUCAAAUAACAUCAUUAUUGCAAAUUAUCCUGCUGACACCUUGUGGAUGGGAGUGCUGUGCUUUGACAGAGGAAGCAAGUGCUUUGGUAAGAUUUUUCUACAGGUUCCGUUUGGGGAAGAUCAGAACAUUGUACUUGCUUAGCCUGUCUUUAGUGUUCCCUGUGCACCUUUGCACACCAAAAAUGAGGAAUUCUCAAAAUCUUGGAAAAGUUUGAAAAUGAAAUGGGUCAGGAUUCAUGGAAGAUUCUUAAGAGAGCCUUAAGCAAGACAGGAGAACUGAAAAUACAUGAGCUUAUCUUUUCAUUCAGAGCAGCUAGUUCCAGGAAGUGGAACUUGCUAUUCUAAGCAAAUUUGGUUUUAGAAUAGCCCUGGAUUGAUCCUUUCAGAAAGGGGCAAGCCUGGAGGCUGGUUGUUUAGGUUACUGACAAAACUCUGCAAAUGCCCAAGAAAAGCAAUGGAAGUUCAGGAGAAGUGGUGGCUGCAUCUGAAAGUCCAUGACUUGUGAGUCAUGCGGGUUAGAGGUGGGGGGCUCUGCUUCAUCUAUCACGUGUCUGAAGACAGGUCCUCAGUAGUCUUGUAGAUCGUACAAGUGGGAUGGGAUGGAGAGGAGAGGAUAAGUGCUUUGCAGUUUGAAGGCCUGCGGGUCACUGUCAGAAGCCUGAGAGGACGUUGCAGUCAACUGGUUCCCUGGUGGGGUUUAUGGAGCCGGUCACUCCUCAGACAGCAGUUCCAGUGAGGGAUUCAACAAGAAGGGAGAGGCCUGCGUCAGACAGUUUCAAUGGCAGCUAAAACAAGUGGGAAUCCAGAACCCCACCAGGCUCACUGACCUUGACAAGUGGUUCUGGUACAUGUGCUGGUAUGAUAUUCUCAAGGUGGUUGACACAUCAACCCUUCCCUGUGCACAGAGGUCCUUUCUGCAGGAAAUCUCCCAGAAGUGGUUCUCUUCAGCUGCUCCUGACUCCAGCAUUACAUCUGUCUCUGGAAUGCCAGCUGAGGCCUCAGAACACCUCAGUAAGAAUGAAGGCAAAUGUGGCCAACAGAAUCUCAAGGAAUUUAUCUCAACUUGUGAUGUUCAUAGGUACCAUCCGGGUCUUGAAAUCUGGUUUAUUUUCUACAUGCUUACAACAAGUCUCAAUCUGGAAUGGCCUCAUUCAAAUGCUGAAUAGCCACAUGUGGUUACUGUCUACUAUUUUGCACACUGCAAGUGCAGAUGGAAGAUCAUAAGGUCUGAACAAAGAGACUUUUCUUCUAAUUGAUCUUAAAUGAUGGACCGCAUCAGAUGGUCUCUAGAGUCAUUUUGCAGCCCUCGUGUUCUCUGAGUCAAUGGCAAGUCAAGGAUGUGGGUCCAUCGAAAAACUGGAUGAGAAUGGCCAAGCCUUUGAAGCUGGGACAGUCCCCAAGGCAACUCUGCUAUUUCCGUCUCAAUUUAGGGACACUAAAAAAGCAUCUUCAGCUCUCACCAAAACGGCAGGUUCUGAGCAGAGAGUAUAGUUUUUGCCGCACAGAGCAAAGGGAUUCUCUAGGAUAUGGUUCUAGGGAAAAAAAACUCCCUGAGGGACGGCUUAACUUGAAAUUAACUUUGUUAUUGAUCCCAGUGGUCAGGUGAUGAGUGAUGUGGUGUAAAUCAAAUCUUUGACCCACAAACCAAAAGCAUAGCUCUUAUGAUUACUUUUUGCACAGCUUUAUUAGAACUCUGCACACUUCCAUGGUAUGCUUCAUUCUCAAGACCCGGCUAAGUCAUGAGUCCCCACCCCCCCUUGACAUUGGCUUUUAGAGCAGCAAUAUACUCCAGCACAGCAGAGCUUUGUCUUGCCUCAUAGCCUGGGGUGGCCCCAGAGCUAUUAAAAGUCUCUAUUCAUUGCCCCACUUUCAGAUGAAAUUGUUCAAACAGCGGUCUGUUUAGACCUCAGUCAGGAAACUGCUUUUUACUGGUGCGAGAUGGAAACGGCAGUGGCGAAAUACUUGAGCUAAAAUGAGAGAACUGAGCGCUCAGCCCAUCUGUUCUCUGGAGCACCACGUGACCUUAGCCAGAAGACUCCCUGUGUCUAGACUUCAGUGCGUUCUCCUGUAAGACAGCUGAAGUCCCUUCCACUUUGAUGGUGAGGAUCACGUUCCUGGAAUCCUGGCACAUUUCACAGGAAGAUUUAAAAUAAAUGCAAGAUACAAUGAUGAAUCAUUUCAGCAGACCCUAGGGGAGAAGCAGGAUGGUAAAUAACUGUCAAAUCUUGGUAAACUGUUCAGACAGACAGGGGGGCAGGGACACCUUAUGGGCAGGUCAAGGACAAAUUCGGGGAAGGGGAGAGAGGGGGAGGAAGGAGGUGGAGGGGGCUGGGGAAAGUUCACUGCAGGGCCACCCAAGGCUGAGGAUGGCCAAGUUUGAAAGCCCUGUCUUUAUGCUGGAAGGACCUGACGAGCAAAACUGAUUAGCUGUAGAAUAUCAUUUAAAUCUUCUCUUAAAGCAAAUCCAAGUCUUUAAUCAUUAUCUCCCAAACCACCAAACAGCGCCAGACACACACCGGCCUCAGUGAGAGACUUGUCAAGACUGAAACAGUAAUUCACAAAUUCACUAAAAUUCCCUGCUCCAGCGAGCAGUAUGACAGCUCCAGCGACCGCGGUAACAUUUCUAUUCAAACUGGCUUUGGAGCCGAAGCUAUAAAUAUCCUUGCAAUAUUUCCUGCUUCAGAACAUAAAGACAGCUUUACAGCACUGAUAAAAUAGAAAUUACUUUCUCUCUGAGGUCUUGCUGGAAUUUUAAUGUCUGUUUUGCAAUAAAGCAGCUCCUACACAAUUUGAUUUGAGGGAAAGAAAACAAACGGUCUAAUUUAGUUACAAUAAUGACUCUUGUAUUGUUUGCCCUGCUUGCUUCUCUGGCUGCUGGGCUGUUAAAGUUUGUAGUGUUGAGCAGAGGGGAUGAUUUUAUGAGAAUAUUAAAAUGGUUUCUUUAUUAUU